AGGGUUCGAUUCUGGCUCAGGAUGAACGCUGGCGGCGUGCUUAACACAUGCAAGUCGAACGGGAUCCCAGGAGCUUGCUCCUGGGUGAGAGUGGCGAACGGGUGAGUAAUGCGUGACCGACCUGCCCCAUACACCGGAAUAGCUCCUGGAAACGGGUGGUAAUGCCGGAUGCUCCAGUUGACCGCAUGGUCUUCUGGGAAAGAUUCAUCGGUAUGGGAUGGGGUCGCGUCCUAUCAGCUUGAUGGCGGGGUAACGGCCCACCAUGGCUUCGACGGGUAGCCGGCCUGAGAGGGCGACCGGCCACAUUGGGACUGAGAUACGGCCCAGACUCCUACGGGAGGCAGCAGUGGGGAAUAUUGCACAAUGGGCGCAAGCCUGAUGCAGCGACGCCGCGUGCGGGAUGACGGCCUUCGGGUUGUAAACCGCUUUUGACUGGGAGCAAGCCCUUCGGGGUGAGUGUACCUUUCGAAUAAGCACCGGCUAACUACGUGCCAGCAGCCGCGGUAAUACGUAGGGUGCAAGCGUUAUCCGGAAUUAUUGGGCGUAAAGGGCUCGUAGGCGGUUCGUCGCGUCCGGUGUGAAAGUCCAUCGCUUAACGGUGGAUCCGCGCCGGGUACGGGCGGGCUUGAGUGCGGUAGGGGAGACUGGAAUUCCCGGUGUAACGGUGGAAUGUGUAGAUAUCGGGAAGAACACCAAUGGCGAAGGCAGGUCUCUGGGCCGUCACUGACGCUGAGGAGCGAAAGCGUGGGGAGCGAACAGGAUUAGAUACCCUGGUAGUCCACGCCGUAAACGGUGGAUGCUGGAUGUGGGGACCAUUCCACGGUCUCCGUGUCGGAGCCAACGCGUUAAGCAUCCCGCCUGGGGAGUACGGCCGCAAGGCUAAAACUCAAAGAAAUUGACGGGGGCCCGCACAAGCGGCGGAGCAUGCGGAUUAAUUCGAUGCAACGCGAAGAACCUUACCUGGGCUUGACAUGUUCCCGACAGCCGUAGAGAUACGGUCUCCCUUCGGGGCGGGUUCACAGGUGGUGCAUGGUCGUCGUCAGCUCGUGUCGUGAGAUGUUGGGUUAAGUCCCGCAACGAGCGCAACCCU
rnacentral:rRNA from 1 species